rnacentral:rRNA from 1 species
AGCAGCCGCGGUAAUUCCAGCUCCAAUAGCGUAUAUUAAAGUUGUUGCAGUUAAAAAGCUCGUAGUUGAAUUUUAGGCCUGACCGGACAGUCCGUCUCUGGCGAGUACUGUCCUGUUGUCGGAUCUAUCCUUCUGCUAAGCCGAUAUGUCCUUUAUUGGGUGUGUCGGGGAACCAGAACCAUUACCUUGAAAAAAUUAGAGUGUUUAAAGCGGGCUUUUGCUUGAAUAGAUUAGCAUGGAAUAAUAAAAUAGGACGUUGGUUCUAUUUUGUUGGUCUAGGACCACCGUAAUGAUUAAUAGGGAUAGUUGGG